AGCUCCAAUAGCGUAUAUUAAAGUUGUUGCGGUUAAAAAGCUCGUAGUUGGAUUUCUGCCGAGGACGACCAGUCCGCCCACUGGGUGAGCAUCUGGCUCAGCCUCAGCAUCUUCUUGGAGAACGUAUCUGCACUUCAUUGUGUGGUGCGGUAACCAGGACUUUUACUUUGAGGAAAUUAUAGUGUUUCAAGCAGGCGUGCGCCUUGAAUACAUUAGCAUGGAAUAAUAAGAUAGGACCUUAGUUCUAUUUUGUUGGUUUCUAGAGCUGGGGUAAAGAUUAAUAGGGAUAGUUGGGGGCAUUCGUAUUUAAUUGUCAGAGGUGAAAUUCUGGGAUUUGUUAAAGACGGACUACUGCGAAAGCAUUUGCCAAGGAUGUUUUCA
rnacentral:rRNA from 1 species